AGAGUUUGAUCCUGGCUCAGAGUGAACGCUGGCGGCGUGCCUAAUACAUGCAAGUCGAACGGACAAGUAAGAGCUUGCUCUUAUGAGUUAGUGGCGCACGGGUGAGUAAUGUAUAGUUAAUCUGCCCUACACUGGAGGACAACAGUUAGAAAUGACUGCUAAUACUCCAUACUCCUUCUUAACACAAGUUAAGUUGGGAAAGUUUUUUCGGUGUAGGAUGAGACUAUAUUGUAUCAGCUAGUUGGUGAGGUAAUGGCUCACCAAGGCUAUGACGCAUAACUGGUCUGAGAGGAUGAUCAGUCACACUGGAACUGAGACACGGUCCAGACUCCUACGGGAGGCAGCAGUAGGGAAUAUUGCUCAAUGGGGGAAACCCUGAAGCAGCAACGCCGCGUGGAGGAUGACACUUUUCGGAGCGUAAACUCCUUUUCUUAGGGAAGAAAUUUGACGGUACCUAAGGAAUAAGCACCGGCUAACUCCGUGCCAGCAGCCGCGGUAAUACGGAGGGUGCAAGCGUUACUCGGAAUCACUGGGCGUAAAGGACGCGUAGGCGGAUUAUCAAGUCUUUUGUGAAAUCUAAUGGCUUAACCAUUAAACUGCUUGAGAAACUGAUAAUCUAGAGUGAGGGAGAGGCAGAUGGAAUUGGUGGUGUAGGGGUAAAAUCCGUAGAGAUCACCAGGAAUACCCAUUGCGAAGGCGAUCUGCUAGAACUCAACUGACGCUAAUGCGUGAAAGCGUGGGGAGCAAACAGGAUUAGAUACCCUGGUAGUCCACGCCCUAAACGAUGUAUACUAGUUGUUGCUAUGCUAGUCAUGGCAGUAAUGCACCUAACGGAUUAAGUAUACCGCCUGGGGAGUACGGUCGCAAGAUUAAAACUCAAAGGAAUAGACGGGGACCCGCACAAGCGGUGGAGCAUGUGGUUUAAUUCGAAGAUACGCGAAGAACCUUACCUGGGCUUGAUAUCCUAAGAACCUUGUAGAGAUAUGAGGGUGCUAGCUUGCUAGAACUUAGUGACAGGUGCUGCACGGCUGUCGUCAGCUCGUGUCGUGAGAUGUUCGGUUAAGUCCGGCAACGAGCGCAACCCACGUAUUUAGUUGCUAACAGUUUGGCUGAGCACUCUAAAUAUACUGCCUUCGUAAGGAGGAGGAAGGUGUGGACGACGUCAAGUCAUCAUGGCCCUUAUGCCCAGGGCGACACACGUGCUACAAUGGCAUAUACAAUGAGACGCAAUAUCGCGAGAUGGAGCAAAUCUAUAAAAUAUGUCCCAGUUCGGAUUGUUCUCUGCAACUCGAGAGCAUGAAGCCGGAAUCGCUAGUAAUCGUAGAUCAGCCAUGCUACGGUGAAUACGUUCCCGGGUCUUGUACUCACCGCCCGUCACACCAUGGGAGUUGAUUUCACUCGAAGUCGGAAUGCUAAACUAGCUACCGCCCACAGUGGAAUCAGCGACUGGGGUGAAGUCGUAACAAGGUAACCGUAGGAGAACCUGCGGUUG
rnacentral:rRNA from 1 species